rnacentral:rRNA from 1 species
CAGUCGCCGCGGGAAAACGAAGGGUGCAAGCGUUACUCGGAAUUACUGGGCGUAAAGCGUGCGUAGGCGGCUUCUUAAGUCGGAUGUGAAAUCCCUGAGCUUAACUUAGGAAUUGCAUUCGAUACUGGGAAGCUAGAGUAUGGGAGAGGAUGGUAGAAUUCCAGGUGUAGCGGUGAAAUGCGUAGAGAUCUGGAAAAAUACCGAUGGCGAAGGCAGCCAUCUGGCCUAAUACUGACGCUGAGGUACGAAAGCAUGGGGAGCAAACAGGAUUAGAUACCCGAGUAGUCCCUGUCUCUUAUAC